AGAGUUUGAUCCUGGCUCAGGACGAACGCUGGCGGCGUGCCUAACACAUGCAAGUCGAACGGGGUAAAGAGCUUCGGUUUUUUACUUAGUGGCGAACGGGUGAGUAACGCGUGAAGAACCUGCCUUUCAGUGGGGGACAACAGUUGGAAACGACUGCUAAUACCGCAUAACACUUAUCGGGGGCAUCCCUGAUAAGUCAAAGAUUUAUUGCUGAAAGAUGGCUUCGCGUCUGAUUAGCUAGAUGGCGGGGUAACGGCCCACCAUGGCGACGAUCAGUAGCCGGUCUGAGAGGAUGAACGGCCACAUUGGGACUGAGAUACGGCCCAGACUCCUACGGGAGGCAGCAGUGGGGAAUAUUGGGCAAUGGGGGAAACCCUGACCCAGCAACGCCGCGUGAAGGAAGAAGGCUUUCGGGUUGUAAACUUCUUUUACCAGGGACGAAGGACGCGACGGUACCUGGAGAAAAAGCAACGGCUAACUACGUGCCAGCAGCCGCGGUAAUACGUAGGUUGCAAGCGUUGUCCGGAUUUACUGGGUGUAAAGGGCGUGUAGGCGGAGAUGCAAGUUGGGAGUGAAAUCCCGGGGCUCAACCCCGGAACUGCUCUCAAAACUGUAUCCCUUGAGUAUCGGAGAGGCAAGCGGAAUUCCUAGUGUAGCGGUGAAAUGCGUAGAUAUUAGGAGGAACACCAGUGGCGAAGGCGGCUUGCUGGACGACAACUGACGCUGAGGCGCGAAAGCGUGGGGAGCAAACAGGAUUAGAUACCCUGGUAGUCCACGCUGUAAACGAUGAAUACUAGGUGUGGGGGGACUGACCCCUUCCGUGCCGCAGUUAACACAAUAAGUAUUCCACCUGGGGAGUACGACCGCAAGGUUGAAACUCAAAGGAAUUGACGGGGGCCCGCACAAGCAGUGGAUUAUGUGGUUUAAUUCGACGCAACGCGAAGAACCUUACCAGGACUUGACAUCCAACUAACGAAGUAGAGAUACAUUAGGUGCCCUUCGGGGAAAGUUGAGACAGGUGGUGCAUGGUUGUCGUCAGCUCGUGUCGUGAGAUGUUGGGUUAAGUCCCGCAACGAGCGCAACCCCUAUUGUUAGUUGCUACGCAAGAGCACUCUAGCGAGACUGCCGUUGACAAAACGGAGGAAGGCGGGGACGACGUCAAAUCAUCAUGCCCCUUAUGUCCUGGGCUACACACGUAAUACAAUGGUGGCCAACAGAGGGAAGCAAAGCCGCGAGGUGGAGCAAAUCCCCAAAAGCCAUCUCAGUUCGGAUUGCAGGCUGCAACUCGCCUGCAUGAAGCUGGAAUUGCUAGUAAUCGCGGAUCAGCAUGCCGCGGUGAAUACGUUCCCGGGCCUUGCACUCACCGCCCGUCA
rnacentral:rRNA from 1 species